GUAGGUGGCAAGCGUUGUCCGGAAUUAUUGGGCGUAAAGCGCGCGCAGGCGGUUCUUUAAGUCUGAUGUGAAAGCCCACGGCUCAACCGUGGAGGGACAUUGGAAACUGGAGAACUUGAGUACAGAAGAGGAAAGCGGAAUUCCACGUGUAGCGGUGAAAUGCGUAGAGAUGUGGAGGAACACCAGUGGCGAAGGCGGCUUUCUGGUCUGUAACUGACGCUGAGGCGCGAAAGCGUGGGGAGCAAACAGGGAUUAGAUACCCUGGUAGUCCACGCCGUAAACGAUGAGUGCUAAGUGUUAGGGGGGUUUCCGCCCCCUUAGUGCUGCAGCUAACGCAUUAAGCACUCCGCCUGGGGAGUACGGCCGCAAGGCUG
rnacentral:rRNA from 1 species